UACGUAGGCAGCAAGCGUUGUUCGGAGUUACUGGGCGUAAAGGGUGUGUAGGCGGUUCUUUAAGUUUGGUGUGAAAUCUCCCGGCUCAACCGGGAGGGUGCGCCGAAUACUGAAUGACUAGAGUGCGGGAGAGGAGAGUGGAAUUCCUGGUGUAGCGGUGAAAUGCGUAGAUAUCAGGAGGAACACCGGUGGUGUAGACGGCUCUCUGGACCGUAACUGACGCUGAGGCACGAAAGCGUGGGGAGCGAACCGG
rnacentral:rRNA from 1 species